rnacentral:rRNA from 1 species
GGAAUAUUGCGCAAUGGAGGCAACUCUGACGCAGCAACGCCGCGUGCGGGAAGCAGGUCUUCGGAUCGUAAACCGCUUUUGUGAGGGAAGAGAACGGACGGUACCUCACGAAUAAGUCCCGGCUAACUACGUGCCAGCAGCCGCGGUAAAACGUAGGAGGCAAGCGUUAUCCGGAUUUACGGGGCGUAAAGCGCGUGCAGGCGGUCUGUUAAGUCGUGCGUGAAAGCGCCCUGGCUCAACCGGGAGAGGUCGUGCGAAACUGGCAGACUGGAGACAGAGAGAGGCAAGUGGAAUUCCGGGUGUAGUGGUGAAAUGCGUAGAUAUCCGGAGGAACACCAGUGGCGAAGGCGACUUGCUGGCUCUGAUCUGACGCUCAGACGCGAAAGCAUGGGGAGCGAA